UACGUAGGGUGCAAGCGUUAAUCGGAAUUACGGGGCGUAAAGCGUGCGCAGGCGGUUUUGUAAGUCUGAUGUGAAAUCCCCGGGCUCAACCUGGGAAUUGCAUUGGAGACUGCAAGGCUAGAAUCUGGCAGAGGGGGGUAGAAUUCCACGUGUAGCAGUGAAAUGCGUAGAGAUGUGGAGGAACACCGAUGGCGAAGGCAGCCCCCUGGGUCAAGAUUGACGCUCAUGCACGAAAGCGUGGGGAGCAAACAGG
rnacentral:rRNA from 1 species